rnacentral:ncRNA from 1 species
ACUUCGAUUUUAGAAAUAUUUACUUAAUACUUUUUGCACAAAUUGAUUUCCUUUCAUUAAUAAUACAUAUAAACAUUUUGGUGAGAAGCGAGUAUGUUCUAUGAAACAAUUAUCGUCGAUUUCAAAUCUAUGCAGAAUUAUUCCACACCAGUGACAUUGAACUGCAUCGUCGAGAUUGAUAUAAUAAAAUCCACAUUCGGCUAAUUUGUACUUAUUUUGACCGGUGUUCGAUGGAAACGACUUAAAAGUUCGUAACCUAGAUACAAAUGUAGAGAAUUCUGGAUACGCUGGUGUUGAAUUGAAUCGUAUUUGGUCGACCAAUGACUGGACAUCGUUUGUGCAUUUUUGGAAAUUCAUUUUUAAAAAAUUAAAGAAUAACUUGGAAAAAAACAAUUUAAUGAGAUGAUGAGAGAAUUGAUGAACGAAACACGACUUGACCGGACAGCUAAUUGAUAAUGACUGUGUAUAAUAAAAAAAAUAAUCAACUUUGGAAAUUAAAAAAAAAUAAUUGUAAAUUUGUUUAUCAAAUUUAGAUAAAAAAACAGUGUAACCAACAUGAGUAGAAAUGAAAUACUGUAAAUAUUUUUACGAGGUAGAAUUUUGUAGACAAUCAGUGUGAAAUGUGUAGUAGGAUGGCGCGGCGGUGUGCGUCGAAGGGCAGGUCGCGAGACCGCCUAGAACCGCCGUCGGUGCAGAUCUUGGUGGUAGUAGCAAAUACUCGAGAGGGGCCCUCGGGGGCUGCCGUGGAGAAGGGUUUCUUGCGAACAGCCGUUGUCCAAGAGCCAGUCGAUCCUAAGCCCGGGGAGAGAUCCUCGUACCACGGGCGAAGGCGUUUUCGAAUCGCCCUUGGGGCGAGAGGGAAUCCGGUUCGUAUUCCGGAACCCGACGCGGAACCGCUCCCUAGUGUUCGGGGCUCUUUUUUCUCGUCUGGGUAACCAGAAUGAACUCGAAGAAGCCGCCGGGGGAUCUGGGUAGAGUUCUCUUUUCUCUGUGAGCGUUGUACGUCCCUGGAAUCCUCUAGCCGGGCAAUAGGGACGCGAGCGCGAAGAGCACAGCUCGUUGCGGCGGUGUCCGUGAUCCCCACGCGGACCUUGAAAAUUCGAGAGAGGGCCACGCGGAGUCUUCGCGUCGGUUCGUACCGAUAUCCGCAGCAGGUCUCCGAGGUGAGCAGCCUCUAGUCGCAUAGAAUAAUGUAGGUAAGGGAAGUCGGCAAAACCGAUCCGUAACUUCGGGAUAAGGAUUGGCUCUGAGGAGCGUGGCUGCCGGGUUCGGGUCGUCGUAGAAGCGUAGGCGUUUUUGGCGACACCCCGGCCGUCGCCCGUGCGCCCGGUCUUCGGAACGGGAGCCUCGAGGCGGCCGCGGGCCCGUCGCCGUCCGCCGACCGUGGAACCACCGAGCUUCGGUCGCUGGCCGCGUCGCGGCCGGCCGACCGCCUUGGUGUCGGUUCGCCGUCACCGGGCGG